rnacentral:lncRNA from 1 species
AUGUCCGAUCCGAUUUUGCAAAUAUUGCUUCUCCUUGGCUGGGUUGGUAGGUGCGCACCUUUGGCGUGAAAGAAUGAUCCACUUUUGGAUCACCCACCACACAGAUCUCAAAACACACUCCGUCAUUCAUCCGCCCGUCGACACCACACCGACCAUGGGCAGAUAGUCUAGAAAUCACGUCAUCCUUCCAACAACCAAA